rnacentral:rRNA from 1 species
UAGGGAAUCUUCGGCAAUGGACGGAAGUCUGACCGAGCAACGCCGCGUGAGUGAAGAAGGUUUUCGGAUCGUAAAGCUCUGUUGUAAGAGAAGAACGAGUGUGAGAGUGGAAAGUUCACACUGUGACGGUAUCUUACCAGAAAGGGACGGCUAACUACGUGCCAGCAGCCGCGGUAAUACGUAGGUCCCGAGCGUUGUCCGGAUUUAUUGGGCGUAAAGCGAGCGCAGGCGGUUAGAUAAGCCUGAAGUUAAAGGCUGUGGCUUAACCAUAGUACGCUUUGGAAACUGUUUAACUUGAGUGCAAGAGGGGAGAGUGGAAUUCCAUGUGUAGCGGUGAAAUGCGUAGAUAUAUGGAGAAACACCGGUGGCGAAAGCGGCUCUCUGGCUUGUAACUGACGCUGAGGCUCGAAAGCGUGGGGAGCAAACAGGAUUAGAUACCCUGGUAGUCCACGCCGUAACGAUGAGUGCUAGGUGUUAGACCCUUUCCGGGGUUUAGUGCCGUAGCUAACGCAUUAAGCACUCCGCCUGGGGAGUACGACCGCAAGGUUG